AAUAGCUCACACAGCCUCCUCCCCCGGACCGCCAAAGUGCACGAGCAUUGGCCUGGUGCUGGUGGACAGUU